AGAUAUCUGAUAUUACUUUAAAGAAACAGUUCACGAUUCACACUUUCACCAUGAAGCUAAACGAAAUCGAAGAAUCGAGUUCAUGAUUGGCAUUUGUUAGAGAGUGAAAAUCAGCCGGGAGCGGCGGGUCCUCUUCGCUGUGGGUGGAAAGGAAUCGAAUGCGGUGAUUACUGGGUUAAUUUCCUCCAUUAUCCACGAGUGACCCACAUCUUCGGGCCUUCCGCUUUCGGAGAUGUUGAACGUAGCGAUGGCUACGAGAUCGCAGUAGAAAGGAGUAACCGAUCCCGAUUACGAUUUCUCCUCUCAAUGCCAUGAAAAACGUCGACACUUUCACAAAGCGACGCGUGCAGCUGUUCCGAGGAGGAACUCCCCGUAUCUGAAAAUGGUGGAUAAACGACGGAAGGGUGAAGCUGACUCUCCAUGUCCACGUGCCGCCUUCUAUUUCGUGAAUUAUCGGCGCAAUUAUCUGGAACAGUUUGCAAUUACGAGAAAUAUACGACUGUUACAGGUAAAUGUUUAUUUUAGGUAAAUUUUUGCCAAGUAU